GUGUGACCCUGGACUUCAGAUCUAACCUCCGGAUGACAUGGGAGGAGUCGACGAGAGAAAAAGUGAGGCAAGGACGCAUGGAGAGUACGGCCAUAUAAACAAGCACAGCAGGCACCUUAUCACGUGCCCAGAACUGCGGGCGUGAUUAUUUAUAACAACUCCAAACUACUGUGAUCUCUGACUACAGAGUUCUCUUUCACGUAACUUGCACCUGUGACUUCUACCAGAUUUGACAAUUUGCUUGACUAUUCUGGUAAAAAUUUGGAUUCUUCCUUUGUCUUUUCACUUAUUUCCUGUUACUGAUCCAUCUCCAGCUCCUGGCCCUCGUCUUUAUCGUCUCUAUUGAAUACAUGUUCAUUCGUCCAUCUUCAUUUAAUUUUCAUUAUUGGUUUAUAGGUUGACUCCACUUCUGACCCUCAUUUGUACCUGCUAAUACCAUUCUGUCCAAGGUUCUAAGGUUGGGAUUCACUCUUGGCCAUAACUCUCCGGGCUACAUGUUCAAAUCCAUACCACUAUGGCAGCUUGACAUCUGCUUUAAAGAGGAAACUAGGAGAGGAUGAUUAUUUAGCUCAAAGGGAUAUGCCUGUUCCUUGGGUCCUUAAGAUCCAUUCCAAUUCUGAGGUCUUAUAUUAGAAUAGUGAAGAACAGGUAACAUGUGUAGCCUCAGUACAUCACCCAGUGAACAUUCAUUCUAAAAAUAAUGUAAGAGCUUACAGUUUUAGAACAUUUACAUAUUUUUUAAAAAAUGUGGAUCCACAUGACUUGCAGUUCUAUGUCAUGGAUGAGAAUGAGUCUCAGAGACCUUAGCUGAUUUACUCAAAGUCAACUGUAGUAGG
rnacentral:lncRNA from 1 species